rnacentral:rRNA from 2 species
CAGACCUCUAAUCGGAAAAGACUACCCGCUGAGUUUAAGCAUAUCACUAAGCGGAGGAGAAGAAACUAACCAGGAUUUCCCUAGUAACGC